rnacentral:rRNA from 1 species
GACGAACGCUGGCGGCGUGCCUAAUACAUGCAAGUAGAACGCUGAAGGAGGAGCUUGCUUCUCUGGAUGAGUUGCGAACGGGUGAGUAACGCGUAGGGAACCUGCCUGGUAGCGGGGGAUAACUAUUGGAAACGAUAGCUAAUACCGCAUAAGAGUAGAUGUUGCAUGACAUUUGCUUAAAAGGUGCAAUUUCAUCACUACCAGUUGGACCUGCGUUGUAUUAGCUAGUUGGUGGGGUAACGGCUUACCAAGGCGACGAUACAGAGCCGGCCUGAGAGGGGGGUCGGCCCACCUGGGACUGGGACACGGCCCAGACUCCUACGGGAGGCAGCAGUAGGGAAUCUUCGGCAAUGGGCGGAAGUCUGACCGAGGAACGCCGCGUGGGUGAAGAAGGGUUUCGGAUCGUAAAGCUCUGUUGUAAGGGAAGAAAGAGUGUGAGAGUGGAAAGUUCACACUGUGACGGUAUCUUACCAGAAAGGGACGGCUAACUACGUG